rnacentral:rRNA from 1 species
UACGUAGGCAGCAAGCGUUGUUCGGAGUUACUGGGCGUAAAGGGUGCGUAGGCGGCUUCUUAAGUCUGGUGUGAAAUCUCCCGGCUCAACUGGGAGGGUGCGCCGGAUACUGCGGGGCUAGAGUGUGGGAGAGGAAAGUGGAAUUCCUGGUGUAGCGGUGAAAUGCGUAGAUAUCAGGAGGAACACCGGUGGUGUAAACGGCUUUCUGGACCAUAACUGACGCUGAGGCACGAAAGCGUGGGUAGCAAACAGG